AGUCAAGACAUAUUUGUUUGCGUUGUGGAUAGUGCUAUGUUGGUUCACAUUCUAAUGAUUGAAUCCCAGACUGUUUCAUCAACUUUUCCUUUCUGAAACAGUAAAAUCACAAAGUUGAAUUAACUAUGUAAGACACAAACACUUGGGAUAUGCAUUUGAAAGUUUGUUUUCUUUUGUUUAAAGCAUGUAGUUUAUUAGAUAUGUAUAUCUGUCCAGUUGUUUUGCUACAUGACUCCUAUUGAAUGUUUCUAUUUUCUUAUGGUCAGUCUGAUCCAGUUGAUUCUACCUUUAAGUGUUGUACCUUAGUGUCUGUCAGUUUUGAAGUCUCUCUUGGCUUUUUUUUUUUGUUUGUUUAAAUUGAUAUUGAGUUGAGUAGCAAUGUACUGUUUCAAACAAAUAUUUUUCAAGUUUGUCUUUAUUUUUUAGUUAAGUGUCUGGUUCUAUUCAAGUCCCUCUUUUAGAAUUAAGAAAUUGCAUUUAAAUCAUUAGAAAAUGCUAAUUAGCAUGGUAUCCAUGCUGAGUUUGGUCUCCCCUUAUAGUGGAUAGGAUGGGAUUUGUGUGUGUGUGCCAUGACAGCCUUGUGUUGAAUCACAUGAGAAAAGAAGUUUUUUUUUUUUAAUGAUGAAAUCUGUGAUAUGCUGUAGGCCACCCCCACAAUACAUUUCACCAUGUGAUAUGACAUACUACACUGGCCAGAAGUGGACUGGCCUGACCUAUAUCUGGAAGUGCAAGUAGAACAGAAGCCACUAGUUGGUGUGGCUCCCCCUCCUGGUGAUGUAUAGGAGACAUUGUAUAACAAUGCUUUCUUUAGUUUGUGAACAUUUUGUUCUGUUGUGAACACCCACAUUGUGGCUUGAACCAUGUGUAUCAUUGAAAUAAGCACAAGUUGUACAGUUUCUUUUAAUGAUAUUUACAUUUUUAGUUUUUUUUUUCCCCUUUUUGUCACAUGGUGAAGUCUAUUUACUACAUAACAGACAAGAAUUUAGACAGUGUUUUAAUACCUGAUUCCCACACACAUAUUUUUUCAAUGAUGCAUUUUUUUUACCUAGGUUAUUAUUAUU